AUUGUGUGUCCUCUCUCUGUAUCCAGAAGAAUCAAAAGCGAUACAAAAAAAGGGAGUCAGUGACUGGAGUGGCACUAAGAGCCAAAAAGAAAGGCCACGCAAGUCCAAGCUUCCCCUAUUAUGUUUUAUCGGAGGGGAGGGCAGACUCCAAACUCCACGCUCAAGUACUAAGUACGAGAUAACUGGCAAAUCAUUAACCUGGGAUGCACAGAUUUGACAGGAACUUGUGCUAUUGACAGAUGCUGCCAGGAGUCCUCUUUUAAUAAGGCGAGGCCACAUCUGCAUCUGCGGCGCGGCCAUGUGAUUGAUUAAUCAAUGAAAUGGGAUUAUCUGAUUGAUUUAAAUGAUCAAGGGGCAAGUGAGACUCCCCGCCGUCUGGACUUUAGGUUUCCAACAGACUGCAUGCCGUAACGUUAAUCAACAAACAAUAUAGUAGAACGUCAUUUUGGUAUAAAAAAUAAUUGCACAAGAAAAGCGAGCCAUUCAUACUUACCGAGAGGUGGUAGAGCGUCCUUACGUUCAUGAUACCUUUCACCUACUUACUUGCUGAGAUGAACAGUCGGUGCUUUGUGGUGCGUCUUGGUUGGUUAGAGGAAAUGAGCAGUCGGCAGUCAAACCAGCCCUCCAGCUCAGAUUACAGUGGACCCAAAAGUUGCACAUUUUCAGCUGAGGGAUGUGGGAACAUACUGACCCGACAACUAUCCACAACAACAGAGCAAGCUCUCCAGAGGAAGACCAUGAGAUGUGCUUAAGCUCUAGAAUUAGUGCAGAGGAAGGAGAACAGAUGCUUUGGACACAGGCAACUUCCUCUGAUGAUAUUUGAAUGGUGAAGAGAUCGAAGAGAGACUGACUGCACGGUUGGCUGAGAGCCUCUGUAGGGCCUGAUAGGUGGCCCCACUCUUCAUCACUCUGAGGUCAGUGAAGGGCCACAAACAUAGUGGCUCCACUUACGCACAACUUUCAAAAAGGGGAAGGUGAUAUGACAAUAUAUAUUGUGGGACAAUAUAAAUCUGACAAAUCAAAUGUUUUUUACAUUUUUUUUUACUGUCUAUACUGCUGUAGUUGUAAUGUUGCUGGACAUGAGUCAACAGGACUUGUUCACAGCAGGUGUUUUGACAUGUCACCAAAGAAAAUGUACUUAUUUAAACUAUAAAAUUAAUGAUGGCUGAAUUCCAUUUAGCUGCUUCAGUUUCAGGGUCUUUGUAUUGCUCAUGCUGACACCCAGUCACAAUUUACUGAGACACUUGUACUGUGUAAAAAUAUCAAUAUGUGAAGUGUUAGGUAUUGAAUUUACUGGAUUAGCCAAAAGCUGACAAUCCCAUCUGGUUAAAAGUGAAUUGAUGUCACUUUGGACUCUUUUUACUACUUUCUGAAGUUUAUAGGCUAACUGUGUAAUCAAGAAAAUACUCGAUAGAUUUAUCAGAAAUGAAAAGACGGGUUUAGCUGGGACAUAAUCAGCCCGCAUCCAUAUUAGGGGUGGAACAAAUUAUUAUUCUCAUUAUUGAUUAAUCUAUUAAUUUUCUGAUUAAAAGAUUAAUGUUUAGUCUAUACAUUUUUUUUUUUUUAAACACUCAUCACAACCUCCCCAAACCCCAAAUUAUUAUAUGUAUUAUGAUGUAAAACCUGCCUGGAAAAGCAGUUUUCAUUUGAGAACCUGGAACCAUUUUUGGUUGAAAAAGGAUAAAACAAACGAUUUUAGUUUUCUAUCAACUGGCUAAACAAUUAGUCUACUUCUCAUUGCAGCUCUAAUCCAUAUGCCCACCCCUCCUUUUAGAUAAGGCAUACUUUAAUACUUUGUAUAAAUGAAUGAAAUAAAGUCAAUUGUUAUCCCUAAUAGCCCCUUUAAAAGCCUGCCUUAUUCCCUACUUCUUCCCCACAGUAAAACAGUCAGGGAGAAUUUAAAAAUUAGUAACUGGGGAGCCAAAGUUGGACAUCCAGAAGUCCCUAAUGGUGUUACUCUGGUGGGUCCAAAUCACAAGAGGAAGAUUUCACUCAGAUACUCUGAUUCCAGUUUGCACUGCCCCUGCCCAAACAUCACUGACACUGACAGUAGGGUGUCUUGAUGUAAACAAAGUGAUGGUAUCUAAAGCAGUGAGGAAAGUCCUUCACCAGAGCCCCCCCCACACAGUGAUGCUGCUGUCUACACAAAAACAAAAGCGUGCCGAUAGGUGACAGUGGGAGCAAGUGCACACAGGAGCAGUGAGCCUUUUUUGAAGGGAUGAAAUCACCCAUUACUCAUAUAAAAAACAGCAGGGAGAAGAAGAAAAAAAAACAUAACAGAACUCUUCUCUCACAGAAUGUGAAACCGAAGCGUAUUGUUAAUGGAGAACAAAAACAUGUCAUGUCAGUGCAUUUAGAUGAGGACAACAGGCCUGAAGUCAUAAACAACAAACAGGG